UACAGAGGUCUCAAGCGUUGUUCGGAAUUACUGGGCGUAAAGCGCACGUAGGCGGCUUUGUAAGUUAGAGGUGAAAGCCCGGGGCUCAACCCCGGAAUUGCCUUUAAGACUGCAUCGCUUGAACGUCGGAGAGGUGAGUGGAAUUCCGAGUGUAGAGGUGAAAUUCGUAGAUAUUCGGAAGAACACCAGUGGCGAAGGCGGCUCACUGGACGACUGUUGACGCUGAGGUGCGAAAGCGUGGGGAGCAAACAGG
rnacentral:rRNA from 1 species